ensembl:lncRNA
UGCAGGUUACAUCGUUAUGCCAGCAGGUGGCGACAAGUGACUGCCUUUAUGAGUGAGUCAUCACAUCUUGAUUCAGCAGAUUCAUUCAAAACACUGAUUCGUUAAAGAACGAAACAACUGUCUCUAUUAAUGUUUUCAAAGAAGAGUUUGUAAAAUAUUUGGAGACAUUAAUAGAGAUAAGACCCAAAGCAAGGUAUUUGUAUUCUUUAGAGGAUUUAGAUUAUACUCUUAGAGAAUUUUGGUUUUAUAAUGUUUAUAAGCCUCCUACUCCCUAUUUUUUCUUUUUCAUUGUAUGUACGUUUUUUUUUUUUUUUUCAAAAUAUUGAUUUUAUUUUAUUUAAUGUCAUUUUAUCUUAUUUUAUUUUUAUCUUACAUUUAUUAUGUGGUACCAUAUGUUGUAGUGUGUGAUAUUAAACUUUAGUAUAAUCAGUCUUGAUGUGUAAAUCUCUCAGUCAUGAAUGCCUCUCUGUGUUGUUGUUCCAAGCAUUUGAAUAAUAAAAUAAUAAUAAUAACAAAAGCGAGCCAUCAGUCAAGAAACAAGCGACGUUCCUUAUGAGUUUGAAUCACUGAAUCAUUCACUAGAAUGAAUCAUUCAAAAUACACUGAUUCAAUUUACCGAUUCAAAACGGUCAACGGUUGGCUAGCUUUUCUUCGCUUGGAUUAUUUUUGUUGGUGCAGCUAAAUUAGGCAAAGUACUGGCGAUAUUGUGUCUAAAAUCUGGCCAGAAAAGUCUUCCCAGAAAUGAUCAAUCAUUUGUCUAAAAGCUGGCCUGACAACAUAUCCGUUGCCAUAAACCAAGAAAAUCUACAACAAAUGUAACGUUACCUCUGCAGUACACUGGAGAUUUGGCAUGAUGAGGAAUGAGAUCUGUCUACAGUAGGAGCAGAAGGGACGUUUGGACCUACUGCCAGCAGACUGUAACAGACAGAUGGGUUUCCACACAAACAACAGAAAACAUCAAGAGCAGUCAGGCUGGCACACACAGAAGAAGAAUCAGCAAAGGGGAGAAAGUCUGGAUAAUGAGGCACUGCUAG